rnacentral:rRNA from 1 species
UACGGAGGGGGCUAGCGUUGUUCGGAAUUACUGGGCGUAAAGCGUGCGUAGGUGGUGAGUUAAGUCUGUCGUGAAAGCCCCGGGCUCAACCUGGGAAUGGCGAUGGAUACUGGCUCGCUAGAGUGCGGUAGAGGAGAGUGGAAUUCCCGGUGUAGCAGUGAAAUGCGUAGAGAUCGGGAGGAACAUCAGUGCGGAAGGCGGCUCUCUGGACCAGCACUGACACUGAGGCACGAAAGCGUGGGGAGCAAACAGG